rnacentral:tRNA from 1 species
GUCCGGAUAGCUUAAUCGGUAGAGCAUCAGACUUUUAGUCUGAGGGUUCAGGGUUCGAGCCCCUGUUCGGUCG